rnacentral:lncRNA from 1 species
UCCAGUGACCAUGAUGUCACUAGCACUGGGUAGUUAGCUGUGUUUCCAGUACCAGGCAUUGCCUUCCUCUUGUUGAGUGAGCCUUAAGUCCAAUUAGAGAGUUCUUGGUUAUUGCUAAGGUGUGUGUGCCACUACGGAAUCUUUAGGCUUAUUGUAUUGUCCUGACCCUUGAUUUGGUUCAUACGUGUCAUAGCUAGAUAGGAUGAAAUUAGCUUUUAAAAGUACUUCCAUGUGUUGGGCACCAUGAUUUAACAUCUGAGCUCCUAAUACUAAGUAAGGCAAGAGGAUGACCUAAGGAAGGAAUUCAAUAUUUUAGGUGUGUAUCUAUCUUUGUUCUGGUAUAAGUCAAACAAUAUUAUUAACUGGACAUUGGCAUUUUCAACCUUAUAAACAUGAUUUAUGUCAAACUUGAAAAGCUCUUUGGAAUGUUCUUUUCUUUGGGCUUAGAAGUGACGGCAUGCACUAAAAAAAAAAAAAGAAAGAGAAAAAAAAGCCAGGUGUGGUGGCGCACGCCUUCAAUCCCAGCACUCAGGAGGCAGAGGCAGGAGGAUUUCUGAGUUCGAGGCCAUGGUCUACAUCUACAGAGUGAGUUUCAGGAUAGCCAGGGCUACACAGAGAAACCCUGUCGCUAAAAAC